UACGAAGAGGGCUAGCGUUGCUCGGAAUCACUGGGCGUAAAGGGUGCGUAGGCGGGUCUUUAAGUCAGGGGUGAAAUCCUGGAGCUCAACUCCAGAACUGCCUUUGAUACUGAAGAUCUUGAGUUCGGGAGAGGUGAGUGGAACUGCGAGUGUAGAGGUGAAAUUCGUAGAUAUUCGCAAGAACACCAGUGGCGAAGGCGGCUCACUGGCCCGAUACUGACGCUGAGGCACGAAAGCGUGGGGAGCAAACAGG
rnacentral:rRNA from 1 species